AUAACAAGAACCAUAACAAGAUGAAGGAAAAAACAAAAAAAAAAAAAAGUCAAACAAGAGUAACAAAACAGUAAAAGACAAUACACCCAGCACUUAUAAAAAUUACAAUUAUUACUAGUUACAAUAUAUUGGCAAGAACACAUACACGUUUCCACACAUAUCAAAUACACAUGUCUCAACCCCGAGAACUGGCGACUCGCCUAAAGUAUUGCGUCUUUGCUGAUUUCUCUUUGAUGUGAUGGUACCACAGAUCCGCAAAGGGUUUGUUGGAUUAGUCGCAUUCAAAUGAACAUAA